AACCCUCAAAUAUGGCCAAACUUCUUACCCCCAACAUUCUAAUAAAAAAGGCACUUUUAAUUGAACCAAGAUUCAGACCUAAAAAUCACUAACCUUUUAAAGGCUCCAUAACCAUAACUAAUUAAACUUCAUAAAGAUCUAAGAUCAUUAUAGAAUAUAAUAGAAUAGUGUCAAACUGAUUUUCACUUCUUUGAGAUGAAAGGAACUCAUAUUGUGCUAGUGACAGUACUUUCCAAGUGCUAGAAUUGAGAAUAAAAAUCACCAACCAUGGUCCAUAAUAAUUUUUCAGAAUAUUUUCUGCUAGUUAUAACUAGCAACUCAAGAGGGUCAAUAAAUAUUUUUUUAAGGCUUCAUCAAAAGAACGUGAUCGGGAAUACAUCAUAUUACCCCGCGUUAGUUUUGAGUGCAUUCUAAUAGUUAUAGCUAGCAACUAUAAGAGCGCCA
rnacentral:misc_RNA from 1 species